UACGUAGGGUGCAAGCGUUGUCCGGAAUUAUUGGGCGUAAAGAGCUCGUAGGCGGUCUGUCACGUUGGCUGUGAAAUCCCGAGGCUCAACCUCGGGUCUGCAGUCGAUACGGGCAAACUAGAGUAUUGCAGGGGAGACUGGAAUUCCUGGUGCAGCGGUGAAAUGCGCAGAUAUCAGGAGGAACACCCGUGGCGAAGGCGGCUCUCUGGGACGGUACUGACGCUGAGACGCGAAAGCGUGGGGAGCGAACAGG
rnacentral:rRNA from 1 species